AAUAGAUACCCCGGUAGUCCACGCCGUAAACGAUGAAUGCCAGCCGUUGGGCAGCUUGCUGCUCAGUGGCGCAGCUAACGCUUUAAGCAUUCCGCCUGGGGAGUACGGUCGCAAGAUUAAAACUCAAAGGAAUUAACGGGGGCCCGCACAAGCGGUGGAGCAUGUGGUUUAAUUCGAAGUAACGCGCAGAACCUUACCAGCUCUUGACAUGUCACGUUUGGUUACCGGAGACGGUUUCCUUCAGUUCGGCUGGCGUGAACACAGGUGCUGCAUGGCUGUCGUCAGCUCGUGUCGUGAGAUGUUGGGUUAAGUCCCGCAACGAGCGCAACCCUCGCCCCCAGUCGCCAUCAUUCAGUUGGGAACUCUGGGGGGACUGCCGGUGAUAAGCCGAGAGGAAGGUGGGGAUGACGUCAAGUCCUCAUGGCCCUUACGGGCUGGGCUACACACGUGCUACAAUGGUGGUGACAGAGGGCAGCGAAAGGGCGACCUGGAGCUAAUCCCCGAAAAGCCAUCUCAGUUCGGAUUGCACUC
rnacentral:rRNA from 1 species